rnacentral:rRNA from 1 species
GACGAACGCUGGCGGCGUGCCUAACACAUGCAAGUCGAGCGAUGAAACCCUUCGGGGUGGAUUAGCGGCGGACGGGUGAGUAACACGUGGGUAACCUGCCUCAAAGAGGGGAAUAGCCUCCCGAAAGGGAGAUUAAUACCGCAUAACAUUAGUUCUUCGCAUGGAGAACUAAUUAAAGGAGUAAUCCGCUUUGAGAUGGACCCGCGGCGCAUUAGCUAGUUGGUGAGGUAAAGGCUCACCAAGGCGACGAUGCGUAGCCGACCUGAGAGGGUGAUCGGCCACAUGGGAACUGAGAUACGGUCCAGACUCCUACGGGAGGCAGCAGUGGGGAAUAUUACACAAUGGGCGAAAGCCUGAUGCAGCAACGCCGCGUGAGUGAUGAAGGCCUUCGGGUUGUAAAGCUCUGUCUUUGGGGACGAUAAUGACGGUACCCAAGGAGGAAGCCACGGCUAANUANGUGCCAGCCGCCGCCGUAAAAC